rnacentral:tRNA from 6 species
GGGCCUGUAGUUAAGUGGUAUAACGCCGCAUUCGCAUUGCGGAGGCGGGAGUUCGAUUCUCCCCAGGUCCACCA